GACGAACGCUGGCGGCGUGCUUAACACAUGCAAGUCGAACGGAAAGGCCCUGCUUUUGUGGGGUGCUCGAGUGGCGAACGGGUGAGUAACACGUGAGUAACCUGCCCUUGACUUUGGGAUAACUUCAGGAAACUGGGGCUAAUACCGGAUAGGAGCUCCUGCUGCAUGGUGGGGGUUGGAAAGUUUCGGCGGUUGGGGAUGGACUCGCGGCUUAUCAGCUUGUUGGUGGGGUAGUGGCUUACCAAGGCUUUGACGGGUAGCCGGCCUGAGAGGGUGACCGGCCACAUGGGGACUGAGAGACGGCCCAGACUCCUACGGGAGGCAGCAGUGGGGAAUAUUGCACAAUGGGCGGAAGCCUGAUGCAGCAACGCCGCGUGCGGGAUGACGGCCUUCGGGUUGUAAACCGCUUUCGCCUGUGACGAAGCGUGAGUGACGGUAAUGGGUAAAGAAGCACCGGCGAACUACGU
rnacentral:rRNA from 1 species